AGUGAACGCUGGCGAUAGGCCUAACACAUGCAAGUCGAACGGCAGCACAGUAAGAGCUUGCUCUUACGGGUGGCGAGUGGCGGACGGGUGAGGAAUACAUCGGAAUCUACUUUUUCGUGGGGGAUAACGUAGGGAAACUUACGCUAAUACCGCAUACGACCUACGGGUGAAAGCAGGGGAUCUUCGGACCUUGCGCGAUUGAAUGAGCCGAUGUCGGAUUAGCUAGUUGGCGGGGUAAAGGCCCACCAAGGCGACGAUCCGUAGCUGGUCUGAGAGGAUGAUCAGCCACACUGGAACUGAGACACGGUCCAGACUCCUACGGGAGGCAGCAGUGGGGAAUAUUGGACAAUGGGCGCAAGCCUGAUCCAGCCAUACCGCGUGGGUGAAGAAGGCCUUCGGGUUGUAAAGCCCUUUUGUUGGGAAAGAAAAGCAGCAGGUUAAUACCCCGCUGUUCUGACGGUACCCGAAGAAUAAGCACCGGCUAACUUCGUG
rnacentral:rRNA from 1 species